rnacentral:lncRNA from 1 species
UUUUCUCUUAUUCCUCUGCUUCAAGCUUUUCUUCUAGCCACCAUCAUCACCAUUUUGUUCUUUCACUAAAAAUCAACCCUCUUUUUGCUUAAUUACUCUAAAAAGGUUGCAGUGACAGUGGAAGAAAGUAGAAAAUGAGUGAGAGAGAAGUAGAAGAACCCAAAAUUGGGGAAAUGUGGAGAUCGGUGAUUGCAAAGUUUCUCAACAACACAACACUGAUUGGAGAAGGUAACCUUUUUAUUCCCUUUUUUAUACUUUUCUUAUUUAUUCUUUUCCGCUUUUUGUGUUAAUUCCUUUUGCAAGUUUUAGGGUUCUUAAUAUGCAAAAUUGUUUUGUUUUUAAAUUGAACCAUAUAAAAGAAAUGUUUGAUUUGACCCUUUUAUAUCAUUUGAAUUGUACGGUUCGAUUUUUUUCAAAAAAGUGAAAUAAACCGAAUCUCUCUGGGAUUGUUCCGAUUCAAUUUAAACCGUUUUCAAAAAGUUGUUUGCUCCGCUUUUUUUCCGAAAAUGGUUUUGGUUUUAAAAUUUGAUUCGGUUUGGUUUAUAGAAAAUUUGGUUCAUAUUUUUUUGAAUGCAUUAUUUUCAAUUUUGGAUUUUUAUUUCUAAAAUAAAAAAUAUUUUCGGAAUUUUUUGAAAUUAUGUUGGAUGCAAGUUGAAAAGUGUUGUGUGCAAGGAACAUUUGCCGGAUGACACUUUCUUUCUGCAUCCCUACAUUUUUUUUCAUGCACACCCUCACAAUUUUGUAAAUUCUGAAACUGACCCCCACAAUUUUGGGAUCUGGGACCGUGCUACGGAUUCAAUCAAUCUGAAAGUGAAUCAUGUUGCAUUCUGGAUGAGGGUGUUCCGAAAGCAAAGUUUGCAUAAAUUAUUUAUUUCAAGAUUGCUGAAUCCGGAAGCCUAAUUUCUAUUACGGAUUGGUGGAUCCUGAAUGAUUUUUUUCAAUUAUGGAUUUCUGAAUCCGGAAUACAUAUUUUGAAUUACGGAUUGACGGAUCCAGAAUGGUUUUUUGAAUGGAUGUUUUGCAUUUUUUUUUAUUUUGGAUUUGGAUUAACACUAUCGGAAGCAUCAAUCCAAGAGUUCGAAAAUUUACUGAAUUUCAUAAUCUGGAAUACAAAAAAUAAAUAAAUGUACAGUUUAUAUAGGGACAUUUUCGUCUUUGCGCAACCUUGUAGGGUGCAAUAAGAAAAAUGUAGGGGUGCAGGAAGAAACUGCUUUACCGGAUUGUAUUGAUUUUUCUCCCGCGGCCCAAUUUUCAAAUUGAGCCAUACAACCUCUCAAAUUAAGGCAAUUGCUUUUUGCAGAUUCUUCCUGCACCUCUAUCACUACUAUUGUAAAGAUGAAAAUACCCUUUAUUUAUUUAUUUAUAUAUACCGUAAGGUUUUAAAGUUGACUUUAUACUAUAAAUUAUUGUAAAUGUAUUUUUAAUUUGAAAAUUAACAUACAAAUGUGAAUUUUAUAUUAUAUUAUUUUAAGCUAUAUUUUUUAUUAUGCAAUCUAAAAUAUAUUUAGUCUAAAAUAUAAUUUUUAUUUUUGAAUUAUAUGAUUCUAAAGUUUAAUAUUGUAUAAUUUAAAAUAAAUUUAGAAAGUCAUACUAUAGAUAUAGAUUGUAUAAUCUAAAAUAUUGUUUUGAAUUUUUUGAUUUCACAGUUUAGAACAAAUAUAAUUUUUCUUACAAUUUAGAAUAAAUCACUUUUAGGAGUGUGAUGCAUGGCAAAAUGUAUUUUAAAUUUGAAUUUUUGAAAUAUACUUCCAAUUUGGAUUUCUGAUAUACUUUUUUAGAUUUUCUAAAUUUGAAAUUUUAGAAUACUUUUCUGAAUUUUUCAAAUUUAGAUUUCUGAAAUACAUAUAAUUUAGAUUUCUAGAACACUUUUCUAGAUUUUUGGAGUUGGAUUUCCAAAAUAUAUUUUUGAAUUUGAAUUUCCAUAAUACUUUUCUGGAUUUUUGUUUUUUGGAGUUUUAUUUUCAGAAUGCAAAAAGUUUUAUGGAUUUCUUUUUUCAUAAUAUAUUUUUCAAUUUGAAAAUUCUAAUUCUGGAAUGAAAAUCAAUGUUGAAAAUUUCAAAAUUAAUUUGGUGCAUAUCUAAGUUCAAAAUGUAUGUUUGCAAUCUUUUCUUUUUUUCAUGUUUGCAACGAAAUGUCCAAACAUUUGAUAAAGACGAGAUCCUUAUAUACCAUUGGGUGAAGAUGAGAUAAUUAAUUUUAUAUUAAUUAAAUUUAAAAAUAAAAAAUAAUUAAUUAUUAUAUUAAUUAAAUUAUAUAUUAAUUUAAAGAUUAAAAAAUUAUUGAUAUACGAAGUGAUUUUUAUUAUUAAUAAAAAUUUAUAAAAUAAUUUUUAAAUUGGUAUCUACACUAACUAUUUAAAUUUUAGUUAUUAAUAUUUUAGAUUUUAAAUUGAUCUCUAAAAUACUAAUAGAUAGUAAUUUAGACUAUAAAAUAGUAAGUAACUUGAUAAUUAAGAGAUUAGAUACCAAUUUAAAAACUAUUUUAUAAAUUUUUAUUAAUAAUAAAAACUACUUUAGAAACUAAUAAUUGUUUUAGUUUAUAAAAUAUCUCUAACUUAGUGAAAUAGUAACUAAGUCAAAUAAUAAUUAAUUAUUUUAAUUUUUAAAAUUAUUUUUUAUUUAAUAUUUUUCUUGUAGUAACUAUUAAUCUCUCUCAUUUUUCUGUUUCUUCUUCAAUUAUUCCUUUGUUAUUUCUUGUUUUUCUUAGGUUUCAGUUCUGGAGGGUUUAAUAAUUACCACUAAGAAGUGCUUAAACAUAGUAGUAAAUUACAAGUUCAAGUAUUUCUUAGGUAGUUAUCAUUGAAUUCUCUGGAACUGAAAAUAAGAUAAAAGUGAAGAAACAAUGGAAGAUGCAGAAAAUGAAGACAGUGGAGAACUCUUCAUCACUCCUUCAGUCUUGUAAGGUGGAGACUCAAGGAAUUUUAUUUAUUUAUUUAUUUUAAAAUAUUUAAUUUAGACAAUUUAAUUCAAUUUUUG